GGGCGGAUGGUUUAGUGGUAUAAUACUCCCUUAGCAUGAAGUCGCCUAGCGACCGUUUCUGGGAGUGGUCCGGGGUUCGAUUCCCCGUCUGUCCA